rnacentral:rRNA from 1 species
UGGGGAAUAUUGCGCAAUGGGGGAAACCCUGACGCAGCGACGCCGCGUGAGCGAAGAAGGCCUUAGGGUUGUAAAGCUCUGUUUUAGGGGACGAAUGUUAUGGGGAGAAAUAUGCCCUGUAAAUGACGGUACCCUAAGAGGAAGCCCCGGCUAACUACGUGCCAGCAGCCGCGGUAAGACGUAGGGGGCGAGCGUUGUCCGGAAUUACUGGGCGUAAAGAGCACGUAGGCGGGAACUUAAGUCAGGUGUGAAAGACCGUGGCUCAACCACGGGUGUGCACUUGAAACUGGGUUUCUUGAGGGCAGGAGAGGAAAGCAGAAUUCCUGGUGUAGCGGUGAAAUGCGUAGAAAUCAGGAGGAAUACCAGUGGCGAAGGCGGCUUUCUGGACUGACCCUGACGCUGAGGUGCGAAAGCGUGGGUAGCAAACAG